rnacentral:rRNA from 1 species
AGAGUUUGAUCCUGGCUCAGGACGAACGCUGGCGGCGUGCCUAACACAUGCAAGUCGAACGGGGAUUUUGUUUCGGCAGAAUCCUAGUGGCGAACGGGUGAGUAACGCGUAGGCAACCUGCCCUCCGGCCGGGGACAACACUCCGAAAGGGGUGCUAAUACCGGAUACGAAGUCUGUGCCGCAUGGUACGGAUUUGAAAGAUGGCCUCUGUUUACAAGCUAUCGCCGGGGGAUGGGCCUGCGUCCGAUUAGCUGGUUGGUGGGGUAACGGCCUACCAAGGCGACGAUCGGUAGCCGGUCUGAGAGGAUGAACGGCCACAUUGGGACUGAGACACGGCCCAGACUCCUACGGGAGGCAGCAGUGGGGAAUCUUCCGCAAUGGGCGCAAGCCUGACGGAGCAACGCCGCGUGAGUGAGGAAGUUCUUCGGAACGUAAAGCUCUGUUGUUCCUGACGAACCUCCCCUCUAUCAACAACGGAGGGGACUGACGGUAGGGAACGAGGAAGCCACGGCUAACUACGUGCCAGCAGCCGCGGUAAUACGUAGGUGGCAAGCGUUGUCCGGAAUUAUUGGGCGUAAAGCGCAUGUAGGCGGUAAUUUAAGUCUGUCGUGAAACUGCGGGGCUCAGCCCCGUAUGGCGAUGGAAACUGGGUUACUUGAGUGCAGGAGAGGAAAGGGGAACUCCCAGUGUAGCGGUGAAAUGCGUAGAUAUUGGGAAGAACACCGGUGGCGAAGGCGCCUUUCUGGACUGUGUCUGACGCUGAGAUGCGAAAGCCAGGGUAGCGAACGGGAUUAGAUACCCCGGUAGUCCUGGCCGUAAACGAUGGGUACUAGGUGUGGGAGGUAUCGACCCCUUCCGUGCCGGAGUUAACGCAAUAAGUACCCCGCCUGGGGAGUACGGCCGCAAGGCUUAAACUCAAAGGAAUUGACGGGGGCCCGCACAAGCGGUGGAGUAUGUGGUUUAAUUCGACGCAACGCGAAGAACCUUACCAGGGCUUGACAUCGACUGAAAGAUGCAGAGAUGUAUCCCUCUCUUCGGAGACAGGAAGACAGGUGGUGCAUGGUUGUCGUCAGCUCGUGCCGUGAGGUGUCGGCUUAAGUGCCAUAACGAGCGCAACCCCUGUCUUCAGUUGCCAUCAGGUGAAGCUGGGCACUCUGUAGAGACUGCCACCGUAAGGUGUGAGGAAGGUGGGGAUGACGUCAAAUCAGCACGGCCCUUACGUCCGGGGCUACACACGUGUUACAAUGGGUGGUACAGAGAGCAGGCCGUCCGCAAGUGCGGCCGAAUCAUGAAAUCCAUCCUCAGUUCGGAUUGGGGUCUGCAACCCGACCCCAUGAAGCUGGAUUCGCUAGUAAUCGCGCAUCAGCCAUGGCGCGGUGAAUACGUUCCCGGGCCUUGCACUCACCGCCCGUCA